rnacentral:rRNA from 1 species
ACGGGUGCGUAACACGUGAAGAAUUUGUCCAACGGUGGGGGAUAGCCGGCCCAACGGCCGGGUAAUACCGCGUACGACCUUCGGGGGGCAUCCUCUGGAGGUGAAAGUCGCAAGACGCCGAUGGAGAACUUCGCGGCCUAUCAGCUAGUUGGUGAGGUCAUGGCUCACCAAGGCGACGACGGGUAGCUGGUCCGAGAGGAUGACCAGCCACAUUGGGACUGAGACACGGCCCAGACUCCUACGGGAGGCAGCAGUGGGGAAUAUUGCGCAAUGGGCGAAAGCCUGACGCAGCGACGCCGCGUGCGGGAUGACGGCCUUCGGGUUGUAAACCGCUGUCGGGAGGGACGAAGUUCUGACGGUACCUCCAAAGGAAGCACCGGCUAACUCUGUGCCAGCAGCCGCGGUAAUACAGAGGGUGCGAGCGUUGUCCGGAAUCACUGGGCGUAAAGGGCGCGUAGGUGGCUUGGUAAGUAGGGGGUGAAAUCUCGUGGCUCAACUGCGAGACUGCCUCCUAGACUGUCAGGCUCGAGCAGAGUAGAGGCAGGUGGAAUUCCCGGUGUAGCGGUGGAAUGCGUAGA